GAACUUUCCCAGGCUCCGGCCCUGCAGAAGCGAGCAGGACCCCGCUGCUGUGUGAGGGGCCUAGAGGAGCGGCAGGGAGACCCCCGCUGGGGGGGCAGGGGCCCCGUGCUGCACAGGCACCAGGCGGGGGAGGCAGGCCCGUGCUGUCCGCAGGUCGCUCGGAGGAGAGGAUCUGAAACCUGGGGAGGGUGAUUGCUCCUGAAAGAACCAACCCUGGCAGUGAGGAGUGAAGCAGAAUCCUGGAGCUUCCCGAUCACCACCCUCAGAGACACUUACAAUCGCCAGAGGAAUAGGUGAAUUCUCAUUUUUCAACCUGAAAAUAAUGGAAGAUUUCUAUUUUCUUCUGUGUGUUAGAUUGGACCAUACACAACUGCUGGCUAGGCUGGAGAAACCUCUGAGUAACGGUCAUUUCAUGGAGCGCAGACACCUGAAAGGAAGGCCUGGUGUGGCUCGCCCGCAGGGUCCUGCCUGUCUUGCACCGGUGCAGGGCUGGGGCUUCCCCUGCGGGCGCCUGUGAAACAGUUGGAAUUCCUUCAGUUGGAACUCUGUCUGUGUGGCAGCUCAGCCAGCCCUUCUGUCACAGUUUCAGAACAAGACUUUUAUUUUCCACUGGUCUGCAGUGGCUGGAGUUGCCUGGGGUUUGACUUGAAGUCUUCCAUGGGCUGCUUGACCUUUCGUCACCACCCACAGGUGCAAAUGAAUUGAUGACACUUACAUCCGAUGACUCAAGGCAGAGUAUGGUCAUAUUUAGUGAUAUGAAGAUUGCCAGAGAAAAAUUAAAGACACAAAAUAUGUAGAAGUGGUUGCCCCUGGAAGCACGGAGGCUGGGGAGGGGGCAAGCCAAGUAGCCAUUGCUUGCUUUGUAGGCCCCGAAGUGUCUGCUCUUGUUUUUGUUGUUAUUAUUGAAGACAUUAGAUGUGUUACUUUCAUUAAAAAUA